rnacentral:rRNA from 1 species
GAUGAACGCUAGCUACAGGCUUAACACAUGCAAGUCGCGGGGCAGCAUGGGGGUUGCUUGCAAUCUCCGAUGGCGACCGGCGCACGGGUGAGUAACGCGUAUCCAACCUGCCCUUCACCACGGGAUAACCCGGCGAAAGUCGGACUAAUACCGUAUGUUGUCCAUUGACGGCAUCCGAUUUGGACGAAAGGUUUGGCGGGGAAGGAUGGGGAUGCGUCCGAUUAGCUGGACGGCGGGGUGACGGCCCACCGUGGCGACGAUCGGUAGGGGUUCUGAGAGGAAGGUCCCCCACACUGGAACUGAGACACGGUCCAGACUCCUACGGGAGGCAGCAGUGAGGAAUAUUGGUCAAUGGGCGUAAGCCUGAACCAGCCAAGUAGCGUGCAGGAUGACGGCCCUAUGGGUUGUAAACUGCUUUUAUGCGGGGAUAAAGUGGCCCACGUGUGGGUUUUUGCAGGUACCGCAUGAAUAAGGACCGGCUAAUUCCGUG